AUUCCAGCUCCAAUAGCGUAUAUUAAAGUUGCUGCAGUUAAAAAGCUCGUAGUUGGAUUUGUGGCGCGGUCGUCCGGCGGGGCUCCUUCAUUGGGGCCGUUUGUCUGGUUUUUCGACCGCACCAUUCUCGGGUAGUGUGUGGCUGGCAUUAGGUUGUCGGCUUCUUCACGCCCGUCGUUUACUGUGAAAAAAUUAGAGUGUUCAAAGCAGGCUUAGGCCGUUGGAUACAUUAGCAUGGAAUAAUGAGAUAGGGCCACGACGGUCUAUUUUGUUGGUUUGCACGUUGUGGUAAUGAUUAACAGGAACGGUUGGGGGUAUUCGUAUUCAAUUGUCAGAGGUGAAAUUCUUGGAUUUAUGGAAGACGAACUACUGCGAAAGCAUUUACCAAGGAUGUUUUCAUUA
rnacentral:rRNA from 1 species